UUAAGCGACUAAGCGUACACGGUGGAUGCCCUGGCAGUCAGAGGCGAUGAAGGACGUGCUAAUCUGCGAUAAGCGUCGGUAAGGUGAUAUGAACCGUUAUAACCGGCGAUUUCCGAAUGGGGAAACCCAGUGUGUUUCGACACACUAUCAUUAACUGAAUCCAUAGGUUAAUGAGGCGAACCGGGGGAACUGAAACAUCUAAGUACCCCGAGGAAAAGAAAUCAACCGAGAUUCCCCCAGUAGCGGCGAGCGAACGGGGAGCAGCCCAGAGCCUGAAUCAGUGUGUGUGUUAGUGGAAGCGUCUGGAAAGGCGCGCGAUACAGGGUGACAGCCCCGUACACAAAAAUGCACAUAUUGUGAGCUCGAUGAGUAGGGCGGGACACGUGGUAUCCUGUCUGAAUAUGGGGGGACCAUCCUCCAAGGCUAAAUACUCCUGACUGACCGAUAGUGAACCAGUACCGUGAGGGAAAGGCGAAAAGAACCCCGGCGAGGGGAGUGAAAAAGAACCUGAAACCGUGUACGUACAAGCAGUGGGAGCACGCUUAGGCGUGUGACUGCGUACCUUUUGUAUAAUGGGUCAGCGACUUAUAUUCUGUAGCAAGGUUAACCGAAUAGGGGAGCCGAAGGGAAACCGAGUCUUAACUGGGCGUUAAGUUGCAGGGUAUAGACCCGAAACCCGGUGAUCUAGCCAUGGGCAGGUUGAAGGUUGGGUAACACUAACUGGAGGACCGAACCGACUAAUGUUGAAAAAUUAGCGGAUGACUUGUGGCUGGGGGUGAAAGGCCAAUCAAACCGGGAGAUAGCUGGUUCUCCCCGAAAGCUAUUUAGGUAGCGCCUCGUGAAUUCAUCUCCGGGGGUAGAGCACUGUUUCGGCAAGGGGGUCAUCCCGACUUACCAACCCGAUGCAAACUGCGAAUACCGGAGAAUGUUAUCACGGGAGACACACGGCGGGUGCUAACGUCCGUCGUGAAGAGGGAAACAACCCAGACCGCCAGCUAAGGUCCCAAAGUCAUGGUUAAGUGGGAAACGAUGUGGGAAGGCCCAGACAGCCAGGAUGUUGGCUUAGAAGCAGCCAUCAUUUAAAGAAAGCGUAAUAGCUCACUGGUCGAGUCGGCCUGCGCGGAAGAUGUAACGGGGCUAAACCAUGCACCGAAGCUGCGGCAGCGACACUGUGUGUUGUUGGGUAGGGGAGCGUUCUGUAAGCCUGCGAAGGUGUGCUGUGAGGCAUGCUGGAGGUAUCAGAAGUGCGAAUGCUGACAUAAGUAACGAUAAAGCGGGUGAAAAGCCCGCUCGCCGGAAGACCAAGGGUUCCUGUCCAACGUUAAUCGGGGCAGGGUGAGUCGACCCCUAAGGCGAGGCCGAAAGGCGUAGUCGAUGGGAAACAGGUUAAUAUUCCUGUACUUGGUGUUACUGCGAAGGGGGGACGGAGAAGGCUAUGUUGGCCGGGCGACGGUUGUCCCGGUUUAAGCGUGUAGGCUGGUUUUCCAGGCAAAUCCGGAAAAUCAAGGCUGAGGCGUGAUGACGAGGCACUACGGUGCUGAAGCAACAAAUGCCCUGCUUCCAGGAAAAGCCUCUAAGCAUCAGGUAACAUCAAAUCGUACCCCAAACCGACACAGGUGGUCAGGUAGAGAAUACCAAGGCGCUUGAGAGAACUCGGGUGAAGGAACUAGGCAAAAUGGUGCCGUAACUUCGGGAGAAGGCACGCUGAUAUGUAGGUGAAGUCCCUCGCGGAUGGAGCUGAAAUCAGUCGAAGAUACCAGCUGGCUGCAACUGUUUAUUAAAAACACAGCACUGUGCAAACACGAAAGUGGACGUAUACGGUGUGACGCCUGCCCGGUGCCGGAAGGUUAAUUGAUGGGGUUAGCCGCAAGGCGAAGCUCUUGAUCGAAGCCCCGGUAAACGGCGGCCGUAACUAUAACGGUCCUAAGGUAGCGAAAUUCCUUGUCGGGUAAGUUCCGACCUGCACGAAUGGCGUAAUGAUGGCCAGGCUGUCUCCACCCGAGACUCAGUGAAAUUGAACUCGCUGUGAAGAUGCAGUGUACCCGCGGCAAGACGGAAAGACCCCGUGAACCUUUACUAUAGCUUGACACUGAACAUUGAGCCUUGAUGUGUAGGAUAGGUGGGAGGCUUAGAAGUGUGGACGCCAGUCUGCAUGGAGCCGACCUUGAAAUACCACCCUUUAAUGUUUGAUGUUCUAACGUUGACCCGUAAUCCGGGUUGCGGACAGUGUCUGGUGGGUAGUUUGACUGGGGCGGUCUCCUCCUAAAGAGUAACGGAGGAGCACGAAGGUUGGCUAAUCCUGGUCGGACAUCAGGAGGUUAGUGCAAUGGCAUAAGCCAGCUUGACUGCGAGCGUGACGGCGCGAGCAGGUGCGAAAGCAGGUCAUAGUGAUCCGGUGGUUCUGAAUGGAAGGGCCAUCGCUCAACGGAUAAAAGGUACUCCGGGGAUAACAGGCUGAUACCGCCCAAGAGUUCAUAUCGACGGCGGUGUUUGGCACCUCGAUGUCGGCUCAUCACAUCCUGGGGCUGAAGUAGGUCCCAAGGGUAUGGCUGUUCGCCAUUUAAAGUGGUACGCGAGCUGGGUUUAGAACGUCGUGAGACAGUUCGGUCCCUAUCUGCCGUGGGCGCUGGAGAACUGAGGGGGGCUGCUCCUAGUACGAGAGGACCGGAGUGGACGCAUCACUGGUGUUCGGGUUGUCAUGCCAAUGGCACUGCCCGGUAGCUAAAUGCGGAAGAGAUAAGUGCUGAAAGCAUCUAAGCACGAAACUUGCCCCGAGAUGAGUUCUCCCUGACUCCUUGAGAGUCCUGAAGGAACGUUGAAGACGACGACGUUGAUAGGCCGGGUGUGUAAGCGCAGCGAUGCGUUGAGCUAACCGGUACUAAUGAACCGUGAGGCUUAACCU
rnacentral:rRNA from 1 species